UGGGGGAUAUUGCACAAUGGGCGAAAGCCUGAUGCAGCGACGCCGCGUGGGGGAUGAAGGCUUUCGGGUUGUAAACCUCUUUCGCUAUCGAACAAGGCCCGCUUAGGGUGGGUUGAGGGUAGGUGGAGAAGAAGCGCCGGCUAACUACGUGCCAGCAGCCGCGGUAAUACGUAGGGCGCGAGCGUUGUCCGGAAUUAUUGGGCGUAAAGGGCUUGUAGGCGGCUUGUUGCGCCUGCUGUGAAAACGCGGGGCUUAACUUCGCGCGUGCAGUGGGUACGGGCAGGUUUGAGUGUGGUAGGGGUGACUGGAAUUCCAGGUGUAGCGGUGAAUGCGCAGAUAUCUGGAGGAACGCCGAUGGCGAAGGCAGGUCCCUGGGCCAUUACUGACGCUGAGGAGCGAAAGCAUGGGUAGCGAACAGGA
rnacentral:rRNA from 1 species